rnacentral:rRNA from 1 species
AGCAGUCGCCGCGGGAAUACGUAGGUGGCAAGCGUUGUCCGGAAUUAUUGGGCGUAAAGCGCGCGCAGGUGGUUUAAUAAGUCUGAUGUGAAAGCCCACGGCUCAACCGUGGAGGGUCAUUGGAAACUGUUAAACUUGAGUGCAGGAGAGAAAAGUGGAAUUCCUAGUGUAGCGGUGAAAUGCGUAGAGAUUAGGAGGAACACCAGUGGCGAAGGCGGCUUUUUGGCCUGUAACUGACACUGAGGCGCGAAAGCGUGGGGAGCAAACAGGAUUAGAUACCCGCGUAGUCCCUGUCUCUUAUAC